rnacentral:rRNA from 1 species
GAGUUUGAUCAUGGCUCAGAUUGAACGCUGGCGGCAUGCCUUACACAUGCAAGUCGAACGGCAUCACGGGAGCUUGCUCCUGGUGGCGAGUGGCGAACGGGUGAGUAAAACAUCGGAACGUACCCUGAAGUGGGGGAUAACGUAGCGAAAGUUACGCUAAUACCGCAUAUUCUGUGAGCAGGAAAGAGGGGGAUCGCAAGACCUCUUGCUUUAGGAGCGGCCGAUGUCGGAUUAGCUAGUUGGUGAGGUAAAGGCUCACCAAGGCGACGAUCCGUAGCGGGUCUGAGAGGAUGAUCCGCCACACUGGGACUGAGACACGGCCCAGACUCCUACGGGAGGCAGCAGUGGGGAAUUUUGGACAAUGGGCGCAAGCCUGAUCCAGCCAUGCCGCGUGAGUGAAGAAGGCCUUCGGGUUGUAAAGCUCUUUCGGUGGGGAAGAAAUUGCUUCGGCUAAUACCUGAAGUAGAUGACGGUACCCGCACAAGAAGCACCGGCUAACUACGUGCCAGCAGCCGCGGUAAUACGUAGGGUGCGAGCGUUAAUCGGAAUUACUGGGCGUAAAGCGUGCGCAGGCGGUUGUAUAAGUCAGAUGUGAAAUCCCCGGGCUCAACCUGGGAACUGCAUUUGAAACUGCCAUGCUUGAGUAUGGG